rnacentral:rRNA from 1 species
ACGUAGGCAGCAAGCGUUGUUCGGAGUUACUGGGCGUAAAGGGUGUGUAGGCGGUCCUCUAAGUUUGGUGUGAAAUCUCCCGGCUCAACUGGGAGGGUGCGCCGAAAACUGGGGGGCUUCGAGUGCGGGAUGGGAGAGUGGAAUUCCUGGUGUAGCGGUGAAAUGCGUAGAUAUCAGGAGGAACACCUGCGGUGUAGACGGCUCUCUGGACCGUAACUGACGCUGAGACACGAAAGCGUGGGUAGCAAACAG